rnacentral:lncRNA from 10 species
ACAUUUUUCUUUCUGGGAAGUCAUGGCGACAAAGACUGAAGACCCAGGCAGCACAAAUGUGAAUGAUGGAUCUCUUGGAAGAACAACAAAGACUGAAGUGAGUAUAUUUUAUGCUUGGAAAUGAGCAAAUCAUUCCUUUUGACAAGCCAUUGAUGUUGGGGUUCCAUGGAAAAGAGAAGGAGGUGAACAAAAGGAAGAAAUGCAGAGAAAAAUAUGGAAUAGAAAUAUGAGGGAAGAUAUUAGCAAACUGGCUACAUCUUUUAUGACAAACUCAACUGAUUACAUCUUUUCCAAGAACAUCUUCAGAGGUUUGCUGGAGUUUGGAUUUACUACUGAGUCAUAUUUGGAGCAUGCUGGAAUCUUACAACUGAGAUUACCGAGUCAGAAACUAGUUUGACUGUUCUCGUCGGCAUGGUUGAGACAUUAUCCCUGGCAGAAGGCUGGACUGGCAUGGACAUCAUUUGAUGAGUUCGUCUCCUCUUAACAAUCAAAGCCUGUUUUCCAGUGCGAAUAAACUGUUGCCUUAUAUAUUGUUUUCCCAUUUUUAUAGUUGUUUACUGCAAAAAAGAGUCUGGUACAAGUUACUUUGCUAAAACCUUGAUAAAGUUUUAUUCUACGAUUCUUCAAUCAAUGUUUCUGUUUUGUUUAUUCUGUUAUCUCUGUUGUGUCAUACCAUAAUUCUCUCAUUAAUAGCUCAUAUUCUUUUUCAUAGCUAUUCAAUUCUUUAGCAGUUUCUACUUUUAUGUUUGGGAGAAAAUUGAAAGCUUGAUUUCUUAUUUUGACAAGUUUUCUAAAGGUUUCAGCAUGCAAUAUUUUUUUUCAUAGCCUUACAGUUUGUAAUAGUUCAUCUGAUUGUAAAGCUCUUACAAUCUUUCCUGAUUUUAAGUCAUUUUAACAACGACUUUCUCUCUUUUUUAUUUUUAAGAAACAAUGUCCUCCUUUUCAUUUGUUGAGAACUCUACUCAGCUUUUAAAAAACUUCCUGUGUAUGUACCUUAAUUCUUUUGACAAUAAAACAUUACUCUGAAUAUUCAAA